rnacentral:misc_RNA from 1 species
CGCACCUUGCGCCCCUUGGAUAUUCCUCGGGGCAUGCCUGUUUGAGUAUCAUGAACACCUCAACUCUCACGGUCUUCCGUGACGAGCUUGGACUUUGGAGGUUUGCUGGCCCUACGACCGGCUCCUCUCAAAUGAAUCAGCUUGCCAGUGUUUGGCGGCGCCAUGGGUGUGAUAACUAUCUACGCUCGUGGUCGCCUGCCAGGUAACCCUCAGCGAUGAAGGUUCAUUGGAGCUCACAGACGUCUCUCCUCGUGGGGACAACUUUUGAACGUUCGAUCUCAAAUCAGGUAGGACUACCCGCUGAACUUAA